AUUUUGUUCUCAUUUUAUUUGGGCCAAAAGGAAACUAUGACCACAACAAUUGGGCCAUAAUGCAAAUACUAAAACUUUUGGGGUCACUUUGUAAAAACACAAUAGUCCACAACUUCAUGUAAUUACAACUAGAUCCCAAAAUUUUAUUAAUGUAAAAACAUCAUUAAAGGAUCAAAACAAUUUGACCUUUAGAGUUUUUAGGCCUAAACGUAAAAACGUAAACUUUUGGGCCAAAAUACAAAAACACAAAAGUAUCAAAACUUUAUGUAAUUGCACAAAAGGGCCCAAAAGUACCCUACUUGUUAGGGUGGCCGGCCAAAGGGAGUGAACAAGUGAAAAUUUUGAAAUUUUUGAAAAAGUUUUUGCAAGUUGAUUAAAACACUUUAGCAAGUGGAUUGGUUGGUGAAGAAAGUCUUUGCAAACUUUAAAGACUUGUAAGAAAAUGUAAGAAAAUGUUUUGUAAACAUUAAUGACAUUUUCCUUUCUUCACCCUUAAGUUAUAAUACAAAAUUAAUAAACCAAAACUUUAUGAAAAACAUAAAACCUUUAAAUCAAAACUUCAAAACUUUUUGUUCUUGGCAAGAACAUCAAGAACAUGAAGAACAAACAUGAAAAACUCAUAAGAGCUCCAUGAAUGUUUUCACUCAACAAAAAUCAAAUUUUCACUACACAAAAGAGGGCUAAUAUCCUAGGGUACUUAGGGGUUCCAAAAGUCACCUUAAAACCAUUUUAACAAGACAAACAUGAACCCAAAAGAUCACCCUUUGGAUUUGGCCGAAUUUCCCAAAACACAUGGCACCAAAUUUUAGUUCCAAUAUUCAUGCUUGAAUGAAAUACAUCUACAACAUUUGAGAUGCUAAAUUUUCUAGCAAAAUUUAUAUAUUCAAAAGCAAGAACAAAGUUUGUAACAUUUACAACAUUUAAAUCACAAAAUAUGAACAUCACAAA
rnacentral:lncRNA from 1 species